CCUACGGGUGGCUGCAGUGGGGAAUUUUCCACAAUGGGCGAAAGCCUGAUGGAGCACCGCCGCGUGUGUGAUGAAGGUCUUCGGAUCGUAAAGCACUUUCGACCGGGACGAAAAACCUCUGGCUAACAUCCAGGGGCCUGACGGUACCGGGAGAAGAAGCACCGGCUAACUCUGUGCCAGCAGCCGCGGUACUACAGAGGGUGCAAGCGUUGGUCUGAAUUAUUGGGCGUAAACUGGGUAUGGCCGAUGUGAAAGCCCAUGGCUUAACCAUGGAAGUGCGUCUGAAACUGCCGAGCUUGAGUGCCGGAGAGGAUGGCGGAAUUCCGCAAGUAGAGGUGAAAUUCGUAGAUAUGCGGAGGAACACCGGUGGCGAAGGCGGCCAUCUGGACGGUAACUGACGCUGAGACGCGAAAGCGUGGGGAGCAAACAGGAUUAGAUACCCCUGUAGUC
rnacentral:rRNA from 1 species